rnacentral:rRNA from 1 species
UACGUAGGGUGCAAGCGUUAUCCGGAAUUAUUGGGCGUAAAGAGCUCGUAGGCGGUUUGUCGCGUCUGCUGUGAAAACUGGAGGCUCAACCUCCAGCCUGCAGUGGGUACGGGCAGACUAGAGUGCGGUAGGGGAGAUUGGAAUUCCUGGUGUAGCGGUGGAAUGCGCAGAUAUCAGGAGGAACACCGAUGGCGAAGGCAGACCUCUGGGCCGUAACUGACGCUGAGGAGCGAAAGCAUGGGGAGCGAACAGG